GACGAACCGUGCGAACGUUGUUCGGAAUCACUGGGCUUAAAGGGCGCGUAGGCGGGCAAUCAAGUCUGAGGUGAAGUCCUCCAGCUUAACUGGAGAAGUGCCCUGGAUACUGAUUGCCUCGAGGAUGGUAGGGGCAUCUGGAACUAGCGGUGGAGCGGUGAAAUGCGUUGAUAUCGCUAGGAACUCCGGUGGCGAAGGCGAGGUGCUGGACCAUUUCUGACGCUGAGGCGCGAAAGCCAGGGGAGCGAACGGG
rnacentral:rRNA from 1 species